rnacentral:rRNA from 1 species
UACAGAGGUCUCAAGCGUUGUUCGGAUUCAUUGGGCGUAAAGGGUGCGUAGGCGGCGCGAUAAGUCGGGUGUGAAAUCUCGGGGCUUAACUCCGAAACUGCAUUCGAUACUGCCGUGCUUGAGGACUGGAGAGGAGACUGGAAUUUACGGUGUAGCGGUGAAAUGCGUAGAUAUCGUAAGGAAGACCAGUGGCGAAGGCGGGUCUCUGGGACGGUACUGACGCUGAGACGCGAAAGCGUGGGGAGCGAACAGG